ACACUGCUGAGGAGUCCCAUACUAGGACGAAACGGCCGUCCAAUGC
rnacentral:hammerhead_ribozyme from 1 species